UACGAGGGGGGCGAGCGUUGUUCGGAAUUAUUGGGCGUAAAGGGUGCGUAGGCGGUUUGGUAAGUCUGAUGUGAAAUCUAUGGGCUCAACUCAUAGUCUGCAUCGGAAACUGCCGGGCUUGAGUGUGGGAGAGGUGAGUGGAAUUCCUGGUGUAGCGGUGAAAUGCGUAGAUAUCAGGAGGAACACCGGUGGUGUAGACGGCUUUCUGGACCGUAACUGACACUGAGACACGAAAGCGUGGGUAGCAAACAGG
rnacentral:rRNA from 1 species